rnacentral:lncRNA from 1 species
AUAAGAUCCUCCACUCCAGGCUGCACUGAUGAUCAGGGUUCUAACAAAGUAGGUGUUCCUCUUGCCCUCACUCUUUCUCCUUCCACGAUAAAGCAAAACUCUUCUCAGUAACACACUAACUGUCGGAAACUGAUCUUCCACCGACUCUGUGACAUAAACAUUGCUUCCUCUGAGGCUGUUUCUUGACCUUGUAGCCAUCUUGACUGGCCAUCUCAUCUCUUCUAGCUGAAGCCCCUGCUGUUAUUCAAUUAAGCCUGGAUACCAGACCAGAGGCUCCUGGAUGGAGAGUCCCCAGCCCAGAUCUCCUGUGGGUACAGCACAGAACUCACACAGACAGAGCAGAGCGACUAACAGUUGGAUUUAGAGCUUUCUGGUUCACCCUGCACCGCAGGCAAAAAGCAAUGUUCCUUUGGGUUUGCACAGUGUCUGGAUGGAGUGAGUCAUUUAAUCCCAUAAGAUCUUGGAGCAAGUUCCUUCACCUUCCUGUCCUGAUUUUUGGGGAGAAGCAGUUGAGAAAUAUAAGUGCCUAAUAAAU